rnacentral:rRNA from 1 species
UACGUAGGGGGCUAGCGUUGUCCGGGUUUAUUGGGCGUAAAGAGCGUGUAGGCGGCCAGGUAGGUCUGCUGUGAAAACUCGAGGCUCAACCUCGAGACGUCGGUGGAAACCGUAUGGCUAGAGUCCGGAAGAGGAGAGUGGAAUUCCUGGUGUAGCGGUGAAAUGCGCAGAUAUCGGGAGGAACACCAAUGGCGAAGGCAGCUUGCUGGGACGGUACUGACGCUGAGACGCGAAAGCGUGGGGAGCAAACAGG